rnacentral:lncRNA from 1 species
CGAGCUUUCCCGCUUCCCAGCCCCGUGAAUACCGCCUGCACUUCUCAGAAGAGCAGCCUGACGGUGGCUCCGGCACGCGCUGCAGUCCUGCGUUUGCGCCGCUAGGGGGAGAGCCCCUCGGGUUUGGGCCCGAGCGAAGCUUGGCCGCGUUUGCAGCCCUCGAGGGAAACUGCCCAGUCCUGAGGGCCGGGCGAAAAGCCUCCAGCUUAUGAUGCCGGGAACGGACCGCCUGGGUUUCCACCCCCCUGCCUCCCGCUUCUCAAUUCUGGUUGGUCAGAACUUGAAAUGUAUUUGAGGCUGGCUUAGGGCAUCAGCCCCAGAUGUGGCCGGGAGGGAGGGGACCUUUGCAGUAGGGAGCAGGUGGCAGGUGCUGUGUGUUAAUGAAAAGCAGUGGGCAGGACAGGUCCCCGGAGACCUGGGUCCUGGCGUCAGCCUCACCUGUAAUUGGCCGUGUAACACGUGCCAAGUCACUCCCCCUCUUCGGGACAGAUUUCUCAGUAAUAAUAAGUUAUAUUUGCACGUGAGCCUUGGCUAUCCAGAUGCCUGGGGAAAUGGAUCUUUUACCACACUGUGUUUCCAUAUUAAGCACAAUGCCUUCAGAAGCGUGGGGGGGGGGGGGGGGGGGUGGGGGAAGGCAGAGGCUGAAGCAUUCCUGGGAUCUUGUUUUAGCUUUAAAAUUCAUAUGAGUUUUGCAUUUUACUCCAUAAAGGAUUUUUCAGAUUUUUUCUUUAAUAAAGAAAAUAAUAGAUUCUCCCUUCCUGAAAAGAUCUUGUAGUAAAAUUGAAAUACUUACCAGGGAGAUGUAUCAUGCUUGUCCUGUGACAUUACAUACCUUUUUUCUUUUUCAGUAAAUAUUUAUUCUGCAUGUGUUCCAGACCUGGCCCUUGUCCUCCCAGAACUCACAGCCCCCGGAGCAAACAGGUAUCAAACAAUCAGACUAACAAAUGCAACUGGGAUCAACUCUCAAAUGCCAAGGGGCUGAGGGUUCACAGGGAAACCUAAUCUAGACUCCAGGAUUCGGUAAAGCUUCCCAAGGAAAUGACCUUUGGGAUUGCCCAGGAGAGGCGGCCGUGAAACACUUCCAAGGUAGAGAGAAGAUAUUGUGCAACAGCAGUCUACGCAGGUAGAGUAGAAGUGAGAGGGAAUGUGAGACCGGCCAGAGAGGCAGGUGGCAGAAGCCAGAACUUGCCAGACCUUGUGGGCCAUUUUAAAUAAGGAUUUUAUCUUAUCAGCCAUGGAAGGUCUCUGAAAGGCUGUAGGGGUUGGGGGCGGGUGAUCAUGAUCUCAUGUCAUUUCCUAUGUGAACAACUGAUUCAUGGAGAGUCAGGGUCCAGGCGAGAGAAACUCUGACCCCUUAACACAUCCAUGCUACUCGGUGAGUGUUUUUAGGGUUUUCAGUUUCUACACCACACUGCUUUUGGGGGUCCUUUCAGAGUGCCUCUCUGUAACAGCCCUGUUUUGUUAACUUUUAAUCUGCUGUGGUUUUAGGAAGGAAGUUAGCUACCCUUAUUAGAAUUUCAGGUUAAGUAAGGGGAUAUAGGUUCUGAGUGAGGAGCUCUUUUCUAUGCAUACCCUUGGUGCUAUUUGGUUUGUUAUCUCAGAGAUCUUUCUACUUAUUUUCUCCUUUUCAGUGUGUUCCCAGUGAGGCAAAGCUCCUUGAUGCAUGAGUGAGAGAUACAUUAUUGCUUUAAUAACACCAUCGUCUCAAAUCUUGCAUCACAGAUUUUUGUGCAAACUAAAGAAAGUGUGUAAAUUACCCUGCAGAGCUUUAAGUGCUAUAUGAAUGAAAGUAAUAAUGGUUAUAAUGGCAGCUUAGAGACCUUCAUAACUAAUUAGUUACCAAAUAUUAAUAUCUGGAAAACUCCUUCCUCCUGCCCCAUCCUCCCAUGAAAAACACAAAUAUGCCUAUUCCUUACGGACAGUGCAAAUCCUCAUCUCAAGUGCUCCUGUUACUCUUUGUGUCUUGGCUGGCAGACAGCUCAAAGCCAAGUUUGCGGGUCAUUGCAGGAAAUGAGCGGAUCCACAGGGCAGUCAUAUCUAUGUCUUAGCUCUUCCUUUGGUCUUGUUCUUCUAUCUCAAGUUUUCCUGUAUUCUCCUAAUAUAUUAUACAUAUUUUUAGAAGGCACUUAAAAUAUUUGUAUCCACCUACUUUUAAUGAGGGUCAGAACUGCUAUUCAGUGUUUCAGAAGGCAGUAUAUAAAACAUUGGCAGCCUGCCAGCCAUUGUAGCUGGUAACUAUACUAUAGCCAAGGGACUGGGGGGUUUUAAAUUUUUUAAUGUUUAUUUAUUUAUUAUUAUUAUUUUUUUUGAGAGCGAGAGCAAGGGAUGGGCAGAGAGAGAGGGAGACAGACUCUCAAGCAGGCUCUGUGCCAUCAGACAGAGCCGUAUGCGGGGCUCAAACCCACGAACUGUGAGAUCAUGACCUGCGCUGAAACCAAGAGGGAUGCUUAAUGGACUGAGCCACCCAGGCGCCCCAGACUGGGUUUUAAAUUAAAGCUUGCCCAGCACUGCAAGCUUCUGUGGAUCAGAAGUCUCUGCGUAUACUAGCUUAGAGCCUUGUAUUAGACAAAUUUGUCUCCCACUGGCUCAUAGAUAAUUUCCUUUGGUGUGAUUUCCAAGCUCCCAAGCUCCAUCAGCCUGCCCCGUACAUAACAAGCACUGUUUGUCACUUGAAAAGAGGGCAGGGAUCCAUGAACUUUUACUCAUUUAGGUUUCUUUUUGUCAGCAGUGACCUGAAGAUUCCAGGAUUCACCAAAUCCAUUCAGACUUCACAGCAGUGUGACCACGUCUUUGAUAUGACUCUGGACAGCCAAAAGUAGACAUGUCUCUUCUGGUAGCAGUAGAUACUCUUCCUUGAUUUCAAGUUCCG